rnacentral:lncRNA from 1 species
UACAUAAUACUUCCUAGGACUUGUGGGUAUUUUUUUACUUUUAUUGUCAAUUUUUCUUUCAUUGCCAGUUUAGGAACGCCCUUAGGGGAUUUUCCUUUCUUUCAUUUAGUUUAUACACCAAUUAAAGACUUCUCAUUGAGAAGUCUCUGCAUUGGAGUGUGCAUAUUAUUAUUAUUAUUAUUAUUAUUAUUAUUAUGAUAAUUAUAUAGCGCCAUCAAAUUCUGCAGCGCUUUACAAUGGGUGGACGAACAGACAUGUAGUUGUAACCAGACAAGUUGGACACACAAGAACAGAGGGGUUGAGGGCCCUGCUUAAUGAGCUUACAUGCUAGAGGGAGUGGGGUAAAAUGACACAAAAAGGUAAGACAGACUCCAGAAAGGCAUCCCCCAUUAAACUAGUUGAAGGGGGAGAAAAUGCUGCCGUGAGGGGUUGACAUAGCAACCAGCGGUUACCAUAUUCUGAAAGGAACGAGGAAUGUUUGGAAAAGUUAGAAAACUUACCAGUCCAAAGGAGUGCAUGGAUGAGGGAUCCUGUUAUAGCAAACCUGAGUGCUUUGUUUCUGGAGCGUUGCUGCAAAAUAUGGGUUGAAAGCAUUAUUAAAUAUAGGUUCCAGUGAGAAAGUGCUCGUAAAAUAUAUAUUUGUAAGCGACAACCAUAAAUAUAAAGUGGGCAGGAUAGUUAUUAAAUUGUCACGACUGACGUGCCAAAUAUAUUUUUUUAAGAGAACAUGCUGGCAUGUAUUUGAUAAUUUAUUGAUCCUAUGCAAAAUAUUAUAUCAACUUUAAGAAGGACAUUAAUGGGGCAAUUUGCUGUUUGCCUCUCAUGGUUAAUUUUAAAAAUGUAACUGUAUUUCUGUAUUUGAAUAUAGCUAGUUUGGGUCAUCAGAAUGAAUAGACCAAAAAGUUACGAAAAAUGUAUUUUUUGUCUGAAGUUCUUGAGAAAAUGCCAAAAAUAUUUUCACUUCAAGUUUUUUUCCUGGGGUUAGUCUGAAUGUUUUCUUUAAAAAUAUCUCAUUACAGAAUUCAAGAUUCUCUUAGUCAAGUUCUUUCCCAUUUACGAAAUUUACUCACGAAAGCAUUUUUUUUCAUAGAGCAGUAGAAAUUCAGGAGCCUCCUCUCAUCCUUAACUAUCAACAUUUAGUUGAUCAAGGCCUAGAUUUAAGUUUUUUGGAUGGCUUUUGAGAUGAAAACAGAGGAUCUGGAAAACCUUUUAUGAUUUUUCUUCAUCUAAGUCACCAUUAACUUUUAUGGAAAUAAAUGUAGAUAAAUCAUGUGAAAAGUUGUUUUACAGAAAGUGAUCAUUUGAAAAGCCCACGUAAAAAUAUUUAAAUCCCAAGUCCCAAUUGCAGAUUAUGAAGCAACCUGUCAUUUUUGUUUUGUUAAAUAUACUCAUGUGCAAUAAAUGUAUUCUGUGGAGUACACCACUGUAUAAUCAAUGAAGCAGUGUCUUUAAAACAUGCAGUACUAUUUAAUAAUUAGCUCUAUGUUUCUGUCAAAUACACAGGGCUUAUAUUUCAAGAUUGUCUGUCUGUCAUAUUUAGUAAUGAAACAUUCCUUUUCAUGUUACCCCCUGUGAGAUCUUUAUGAACAGUUGGUGAAUUAAGAGAUAAACAACAAAUGGGAAAGAUAAAUUUCACACACACAUGGUUAUUUACUAACGUAAGAAUUGUUGGAAAUUCAAAGUGAAUUUCAAAUUUAAGGCCAAAAUAGCUGAACUGGAACAAUUCUCUAAGUUAGCUAUGUUUUCAGUAUAGCUACUUUAGCCUUAAAUGUGAACUUCACUUUAUAUUGCCAAUAAUUCUCACUUUAACCACCUAAGGACACAACUUCUGGAAUAAAAGGGAAUCAUGACGGAAUAUUUCCGUCAUGUGUCCUUAAGGGGUUAAUGAAUCAUCAUGUAUGACUUUUCCUGAAUAACUCCCAGCAAGCCAAAUUCAACAUGACUUUAAUUGCACAAAUCAAAACUAAGGAGGAGAGUAUUUUUAAUAGUAUAAAUGACGAUAUUAUUAAUUGCAAGGAACAGAAAAUUAGACAUUGAAAUUUGUAAAAGAGUAUUCCUACUACCUGUUAAAAGUUUUGAACAUUCCAUUUAAAUGUUCUAAGAUCUUUGCAGUUAUAGUGUCUGAUAAAUCAAAACAACAUAUCUUCUAAAUCACUUGGGGUUUACAUGUCUGUAUACUUGAAAGAUCUAUAUGUAUCUAUGAUUUUUUUUAUUUUAAAUAAAGUAGUAUAUUUAAUUAUAAUAUGUUAGUCUUAUGAUUGCAUGGUGCAUGUUUCCUAUUUCUUUUUCAAUUCUUAC